rnacentral:pre_miRNA from 1 species
UAUUAUGGAUUAACAAAAGAAGUGGUUUCUUGGGAUGUAACCUACUCCUGGUGAAGAUGCUGUGAA